AUGGACAGAGGAGCCUGGUGGGCUACAGUUCAUGGGUCACAAAGAGCUGGACACAACUGGAGUGACUUAGCACACACGCACAUGCAUUAUACAGCUAAGAUCCCAGAAAUGAAUAAGAGGGAAAUUUAUUGGAGAACUUUAUUUGGACUGGAGGACCCAUUUGUACAGGCUGUCUCUGGCAGAAGAAUACACUUCAUCAAACGUGUCUGCAGAGAACGAUGGAGCCAAGUUCUUGACGACGUCUAGCAUUUACAGAUGGGCCCUCUGAUGGGAUGAGUCACUGCACAGUUAAUGGCCAGCGUGUCAAGUACGACCUCAUCACCUCCCACACCGCGGAGGAGGACCAUUUGGACUGGGGACUGCUAUGACUCUGCUGAUGGUCCCCGGGCAUUGUGCAAAACUUUGACCUGAUUUCACUCUUGUGGAUAACUUUCCCCAGUCCCUGGUCCAGCAAGUAGAUGUUAUUUCCAGUAAGAGGAAAGGAUGAGGAUCAAAGGGUAAGCCAAAGAGUUCUAUGCCCCUGGACAGAUCAGCAUGGCAGGCAGUAAUUAGUAUAAAACACCCACCUGUGUCUUUUUUUCUGGUGCUUGUUUAGCUUGUCUGGCCCCUGAAACUUCGUAGUUGCUCCAAGAAUUCAGGGCAGUCCUCCCUUGUGACCACGCAGAAUGUGUUUGCGGUGCUGAAGGCCAGCCCAGGACUAAUUUUGAAAAGCAAAUCUGGG
rnacentral:lncRNA from 1 species